CUGGAUGUAGCGUAGCCAGGUAUCGCGCUAGAAUGGGGUUCUAGAGAUCGCAGGUUCAAAUCCUGUCAUUCAGA
rnacentral:tRNA from 1 species